AAAAGGUGUGGGUUGUUAUGUCUUCUUGCUAUACUUCGUUAAUUUGUGGUUUCUUCGUAUUUAAGAGACGGUGGAAGAGAUGAGUUUCUUCAUAUUUAAGAAAUGGUAGAAGAGAUAGGUCUCUUUGUCCAAGAGGGGCGGUAGAAGAGACUGAGAUUCAAGUGUUGACCUUUCCUCUUGCGACGGGGUAGAAAGGGAUAUAUGUUUCGCUCGUAAGGUUCUGACUCAUGUUGAGAUUAGUCUUGAGGUGAACAACUCAGAGUAGGGGAGAAAGGUUCGAAGCUGCAGUGGAGGACCACUUACAUCGUCUUGUUUUGGUAAAUAGGAAUAGUGCGGUGAAAUAUGAAAGUUGACAUACAUUUAUAAUGGUGGUAGGAUAUACACGAGUUGCCUUUAAUUGAAGGGAGGUGUAGAGCUAAGGGAUUGUGGUCGAGGUCAUUUCCGAAUCAAAUUUAAUAUGCAAUUAAAGUGUAUUAUAGACUAGGAAAUGACUCCUAGGUCGCCUCUCAAGGACUAAAUUGGGUUCAGAAAUUAAGUCGAACACUUGGUGGGAGGGUGUUUUUGGACAAUUUUGUGUAUGGAAAUGAAACAAAUAAAACACGAAUUAAACUACUAAUUGAAAACGAUUGGUCACAAGCUCAAUUACAAUUCGUCCAAUCACAUGUUAACAACAAUUAUACACUACUUUAACCCCUAAUCCAGCAUAAAUUAACCAACUAAGCAAAAGUUUAUCCAG
rnacentral:lncRNA from 1 species